CCUACGGGUGGCUGCAGUGAGGAAUAUUGGUCAAUGGGCGGAAGCCUGAACCAGCCAAGUCGCGUGAGGGAUUAAGGCCCUGCGGGUCGUAAACCUCUUUUGCCGGGGAGCAGUGGUCCGGACGCGUCCGGACCGGGAGAGUACCCGGAGACAAAGCAUCGGCUACCUCCGUGCCAGCAGCCGCGGUAAUACGGAGGAUGCAAGUGUUAUCCGGAUUUAUUGGGUUUACAGGGUGCGUAGGCGGGCAUUUAGGCCGACGGUCAAAUGUCGGGGUUCAACCCCGGCCUGCCGUCGGAACUGGGGGCCUGGAGUGGGCGAGAGGGAGGCGGAAUGCGUGGUGUAGCGGUGAAAUGCAUAGAUAUCACGCAGAACCCCGAUUGCGAAGGCAGCAUACCGGAGUCCGACUGACGCUGAGGCACGAAAGUGCGGGUAGCGAACAGGAUUAGAUACCCGGGUAGUC
rnacentral:rRNA from 1 species